rnacentral:rRNA from 1 species
AAGAGAAGUUACAAAGGGCGAACGGAGGAUGCCUUGGCUUCUGGCGGCGAGGAAGGACGUGGUAAGCUACGAAAAAGUGCGGGGAUUCGCAAACGGGAAAUGAUCCGCACGUAUCCGAAUGGGACAACCCGGCAGGUUGAAGGCCUGUCACUCAGCAAUGAGAGCCAACGCGGAGAACUGAAACAUCUAAGUAUCCGCAGGAAAAGAAAGAAAGAUCGAUUUCCAGAGUAGUGGCGAGCGAAAUGGAAAGAGCCUAAACCGAUAUUGUUUCGGCAAUAUCGGGGUUGUAGGACCUCAAUAUACGAAUCAUGAUUAAGUGGAAUUAACUGGAAAGUUAAAACGUAGAGGGUGAUAUUCCCGUACACGUACGUUCAUGGUGAGUUAGAGGACUCCUGAGUAGGGCGGGACACGAGGAAUCCUGUCUGAAUCCGCGGGGACCAUCCCGCAAGGCUAAAUACGACCAGAAGACCGAUAGUGGACCAGUACUGUGAAGGAAAGGUGAAAAGCACCGUGAAC